rnacentral:rRNA from 1 species
CCUACGGGAGGCAGCAGUGGGGAAUAUUGCACAAUGGGGGAAACCCUGAUGCAGCGACGCCGCGUGAGUGAAGAAGGAUUUCGGUAUGUAAAGCUCUAUCAGCAGGGAAGAAAAUGACGGUACGUGACUAAGAAGCCCCGGCUAACUACGUGCCAGCAGCGGCGGUAAUACGGAGGGGGCAAGCGUUAUCCGGAUUUACUGUGGGUAAAGGGAGCCUAAACGGCGCGGCAAGUCUGAAGUGAAAGGCAGGGGCUUAACCCCUGACCUGCGUUGGAAACUGCCAUGCUAGAGUGCUGGAGAGGUAAGUGGAAUUCGUAGUGUAGCGGUGAAAUGCAUAGAUAUUAGGCGGAACACCAGUGGCGAAGGCAGCUUGCUGGA